UACAGAGGUCUCAAGCGUUGUUCGGAUUCAUUGGGCGUAAAGGGUGUGUAGGUGGCGCGCUAAGUCGGGUGUGAAAUUUCGGAGCUUAACUCCGAAACUGCAUUCGAUACUGGCGUGCUUGAGGACUGGAGAGGAGACUGGAAUUUACGGUGUAGCAGUGAAAUGCGUAGAUAUCGUAAGGAAGACCAGUGGCGAAGGCGGGUCUCUGGACAGUUCCUGACACUGAGACCCGAAGGCCAGGGGAGCAAACGGG
rnacentral:rRNA from 1 species